rnacentral:rRNA from 1 species
GACGAACGCUGGCGGCAUGCCUAAUACAUGCAAGUCGAGCGAACAGGUGAAGUGCUUGCACUUCUGACGUUAGCGGCGAACGGGUGAGUAACACGUAAGGAAUCUACCUAUAAGCGGGGGAUAACAUUCGGAAACGGGUGCUAAUACCGCAUAAUAUCUUCUUCCGCAUGGAAGAAGAUUGAAAGACGGCUCUGCUGUCACUUAUAGAUGACCUUGCGGUGCAUUAGUUAGUUGGUGGGGUAACGGCCUACCAAGACGAUGAUGCAUAGCCGACCUGAGAGGGUGAUCGGCCACAUUGGGACUGAGACACGGCCCAAACUCCUACGGGAGGCAGCAGUAGGGAAUCUUCCGCAAUGGGCGAAAGCCUGACGGAGCAAUGCCGCGUGAGUGAAGAAGGCCUUCGGGUCGUAAAACUCUGUUAUAAGAGAAGAACAAAUUGUAGAGUAACUGCUACAGUCUUGACGGUAUCUUAUCAGAAAGCCACGGCUAACUACGUG